GACGAACGCUGGCGGCGGGCUUAACACAUGCAAGUCGAACGGAAAGGCCCUGCUUUUGUGGGGUGCUCGAGUGGCGAACGGGUGAGUAACACGUGAGUAACCUGCCCUUGACUUUGGGAUAACUUCAGGAAACUGGGGCUAAUACCGGAUAGGAGCUCCUGCUGCAUGGUGGGGGGUGGAAAGUUUCGGCGGUUGGGGAUGGACUCGCGGCUUAUCAGCUUGUUGGUGGGGUAGUGGCUUACCAAGGCUUUGACGGGUAGCCGGCCUGAGAGGGUGACCGGCCACAUUGGGACUGAGAUACGGCCCAGACUCCUACGGGAGGCAGCAGUGGGGAAUAUUGCACAAUGGGCGGAAGCCUGAUGCAGCAACGCCGCGUGCGGGAUGACGGCCUUCGGGUUGUAAACCGCUUUCGCCUGUGACGAAGCGUGAGUGACGGUAAUGGGUAAAGAAGCACCGGCUAACUACGUG
rnacentral:rRNA from 1 species